CUGGAUUUCCAGCCUUGGCUUAUUCCAGUCCAUUCCGAAGCUGGUGUCACUGGGCCCAACUGGGAACAGUGGAAGAACUGAAGGAGGAAAGGCAGACAGUGGAGAAAAGAAAAAUGAACAAGAUCCAGCACUGGCCCCUACAGAGCUCAAGGUCUGGAGGAGAGCCUGUCAUACCAACAGGCUGUGGUAACCCAGGAUGGUCAGACCAAGGUGGAGGGGAACACAGAAGUAGACCUGGAGAAGAGGCAAUAACUCAGGGCAAAUCUAUCCCUAGCUUUCUAAGAAGGUCAAUGAUGAGAUUGGAUUUACUUUUCAGGUCACUUUCCUGAAAUGUAUCUACUUGCUGCUUGGACACCAAGGGCCAGUGCCAGGGCAGACUUCAAGGAGACAUCCCAUUGUGAACAUCAAGGAAACAUCUGGCUAUGUUCAGAGAUCACCUGCUAAAAAUACCUCCAUAUGCUGAGGCCAGUCACUGACACUGGGAACUCGUCAGAUUUGUCUUCAAUAACAC
ensembl:lncRNA